UAUUGGACAAUGGGCGAAAGCCUGAUCCAGCAAUGCCGCGUGAGUGAUGAAGGCCUUAGGGUUGUAAAGCUCUUUUACCCGGGAUGAUAAUGACAGUACCGGGAGAAUAAGCUCCGGCUAACUCCGUGCCAGCAGCCGCGGUAAUACGGAGGGAGCUAGCGUUGUUCGGAAUUACUGGGCGUAAAGCGCACGUAGGCGGCUUUGUAAGUUAGAGGUGAAAGCCUGGAGCUCAACUCCAGAAUUGCCUUUGAUACUGCAUCGCUUGAAUCCAGGAGAGGUGAGUGGAAUUCCGAGUGUAGAGGUGAGAUUCGUAGAUAUUCGGAAGAACACCAGUGGCGAAGGCGGCUCACUGGAGCUGGUAUUGACGCUGAGGUGCGAAG
rnacentral:rRNA from 1 species